rnacentral:snRNA from 1 species
GGAUGUGAGGGCGAUCUGGCUGUGACAUCUGUCACCCAAAAGAUGGCCAGGGUUGAUUCCGCUGAUCUGCCUGGCUAGGCAGGUGUCCCCUUCCUCCCUCACCACUCCAUGUGUGUCCUUCUGGGAAGCUGCAUGCUUGUUCUAAGAGGACAACCUUCCUCUAAAUAGAGACAGACCGGUCUUCUGCUGAGGGUAUAGAGUAUCUGAGCUCUCCUUCUAGAACCUCCAAACAAGCUCUCAAGGUCCAUUAUAAAAAAUACUUUCUCUUUUCCCUACUUAAAAAAAAAAAAAGUCUGCUGCUGGGCUGAAAAAUGGUUU